GGGAAUUGCACUUUAGAAUGAAUAAAUUUAUGAUAAUUUGGAGAAAUAUCUUUUCAAGGAUUUCGUAAAAGAAUAUUAUCAACUAUAAAAAAUAUAUUACAUAACUGAAAUUAUUAUCUUUUUGGUAACAUAAAAGAUUGUUAUAUAAUACAGCAAACAUCUAUAUAGUAUAGGACUGGAAAAAGAAUUCUAUGGCAAAUGAUCUACAUUACAGAGAAAAAUAUUGCUAUAUAUGCGAGGCAUAAAACUUCUUCAAAUUCUUUUCAGUUUUUACUUUUUUCUCCAGAAAAUAUUUCAAGGUCACAGUUGAGUUAGCUUUUCAUAUAGUACACAUAAAUCUUUCAGUAAUAUUUAUGGUCUGUGUAGCGUAAUCUGGUUGUUAUCUAAUAAUUCAGUACAAAAAUUUCAUUUUCAAAUUUCUUCUUUUUUUAGAAACUGGAGAAGGGAAAAGCAUUUACUGUUGCGUAAACCAGUCGAAUCUUCUGACGUGUACAUUAAAUAACUGUUAUGAAACAUCGCGCUAUGGACAAAGAAAAUUUCUUCCUAGUAGAUUACUUGCACGAGUUUUUAUGGAUCAAAUGCAGAGAUUGAGUUCAUUAUAUUGCAAAUGCGUAUUACGAAUUUUUUGCAUUAGGCCCUACCUUCCAAAUACAAAUCUAAUGGCCUAAUAUCUAAUGAUUAGUUAUAGAAUAUGCCAUCUUUAUUUUGAGUAAAAACCUGAGACACCCUAUAUAUGGGAAAUAUAUUGCUGCAGUUGUGUUCAGUGAAUUCUGUGUUACAAAAUAAGCGUUGAUUCCGGUUCGAUAGCUGUUACAAGAUUAAUAAGCACGCUCGUAAAUUAUCGUCGGGCACGAUACAAGUUGCGCACCACUGAUUUAAUGGAUGACUCUCCCGGCUUGGUGUGGUAAUCACAGUAAAAAAUCUUUCGUUCGAACGAGCUUUGGAUCCUUGGUAAUUUUGUCGUCAACAACACUCCGUGCUCCUCUGCCCUUUAAUUAUGUAUUACCAAGAGAUCUCGAAAAAUCUACGUGAAAAACGCGGUUGUCGUGUAAAACUAUGGUUCUGCUUGGUUCAACGACAUUGUAGCUGAAUACGAUGGUUGAAUAGCGUGGAAUAAUUGGGCGAGAUUCAUUAUUUGUAUGGAAAUGGUACAGUUAGAUAAUAGACGGAUGUUUAUGCAAAUUUAUGUUAUUAUGAAUAUGAUUCAAAGAGUGGAAUCCAUAGAGCAAUUAUUUAUUCACUAAAUAUUAUUACAAAUGCUAUGAAAACUGUAGAAGAUAAACCUAUUCUUUUUAAGUAUUCAACAUGUUAUAUACCGAUUUAAUCUUUGUACGAUUGCAAUAGAGUACUUUGACACUAAAAAUCCCUAUAAGAAAUGAAAACAAUUGAGAUUGUAGCGAGAGUUGUUAUCCAAAGUUUUGGAAAUUUUUUUACGGGAUAAAAACAUGAUAAGACAUUUUGAUUCCUUUUUACAGGCAAGCUCUGUUGCAAUUCAUUUUAUAUAUCGAGCAUUGGAUUUUUCGAAUUUAAUACGUCAUUAAUUAAUACUAUCAAAAUGAAGCAAACUCUGAAAUUGAUCUAAGCUCUUGAUCAUCUAUGAACUAUGAAUAUAACACGUAAACACCCAUAGUAUAAUAAUAAAAAAUAGUAAAAAAAUUCAAAAAUUUUUUACAUGACUAUACGAUUAAAUGGUUAUGCAAUAGUUGCGGAAUAAUUUUGAUAACAAUCAGACAUGAUCUGAUAAUCAUAAUUUGCAAUUUUCAUUAAAAUUCGAAGUGAGCUAUGGAACGAUAUCAAGGGAAGAAAACUCGUAAACUUGUUAACGGCGGUAAUUAAAGUGGUUGGUGAAGAAGUCUGACACUAUUACAUGAACGGGAUAAUAAUUGCUUCAUAAUGAUAUUUCUGAUGAAGAUAAUGUUUCACGGAUAGUUGUUGCCACCUGUACUUUUGGAAUUUUUUUCCUUCUUUUCCAUAUUUUUGUGAGUAAUAAGCUUGCCUCAUCAUGCGCUGUAUGAUUUCCAGGCCAGCCGCUAUUUGGCACAUUUUCAAUAUUUUUUUCCAGUCAUGCUUGCUUAACUUUUUGUGUAUCAUUACUCUUCUUUCCCUCUAAAAAUUUAUUUCAUGCGUGGUUGUACGUAUACAUGACUAUGUUAAGUAAUAUAUACACGAGCAGAAUUUUUAUAGUGGGCCUUAUACAAAGAACUUUCCUCGCCGAGUUUCUUACGUGAUUACAAAAAUUCCUUAAAAAUUGUAUCUUCAUAAAAGCCAAGUAGAAUCUGACCCAAUACAUUGUACAAACUACUACAGUGAACAAAUAUGGGAAACAAAUCUCAUAAGAUAAAAUUGAACGAAGUCGUAAUAUCAGUUAUGUUUCAGGCCUAACUAAUGAUUACACUAAAGACUUUUACGCUCUCAUAUGACAUUUAAAAGUGUAAAAGCGCAAAGGAUAGAAAUAAUGUGCAAAAUUGGUGUAGAAAAGAUGAAACAAUUCUUUGUCUAAGUUUUACUCUUUUUAGUUGUCUUGCAGUUUAUUGAUGAUGAUCGAAAGUAACUUGGAUCUAUUUUCAGGGAACCGAUGGAAGUUCUUUAUUCUGAAGCAAGAGGACCAAGUGGAAAGGCAGAGACUGGCUAUUAGCGUACGAAAUAACGCCACAAUGUACCGUAAGCCUUGGUUGAGCCUUCACGCAUGGUGGAUCGAAGCGGACAGGACAGGAGGAACAGGCAAUAGCACACGAUCGAUUCGUGGCUCGUUACAGAGAGUCUGGUCGAAAGUUCGAACGAGGCCCGUACAUUAAUAUUUCCGUUAUUGCGCGCACGAGCACCGAGGUUAUGCCUUUCACACAGCCAAGUAAUAAUACGGAAAGUGAUCGUUCCUCUCCCAGUCGGCUGAUCGAUCACGAUACGGAUUUUAACGAGCCUUCAUCCGAUUAACGCCCCACUGAUCACGCAAAUCUGACUUCAGCCUACUUUAUUAACUUUUUUAUGAUGUUACAUUAAGCAGAAGAUCGCACUUAGUGUUAAUAGAAAUUUAAUGGAUUAUAGAAGGACACACAUGUAAUUUUAAUUGCUAAAUGGAAUAUGUUUUUAACGUAUAAGAUGAGAAUAAUUAAGGAAAAAACAAGUAUAAGCAGUUUGAAACAGGUUAGAGGAUUAGUAAAGUAGAAUUAUGGAUGCUGAACAGAUAGCGUAUGUUGGAAAAACCCAAGUGAUUAAUUAAUCAUUGGUUUAAAUGGUACUUGUGUCAGGAUAGUAAUAGAGCAAUUAGUAGUAGAGUAAUUAUCAUUCGAACAUGGGAUUCUGAGGUCUCUGUGGUUUCAUAACACUGCUAGAUCCAUUCAAUCUUGGAUUUCCUUUCGAAGAAGUUGUUGAUCGACUCUUAAUACGGCACAAAUAACUACUACACUCUGUUCAUAGAAUUCUUGCACUGAAACGUUUUCGACUUGUCAAUGUUGUAAACACAGACUCAUGAAAAGAGACAUCUUUUCAAUUAUUUGACCUAUCGUAAUUCAAGCUUUAAAAUGAGAUAGCUAAAUGUACUAAAUUUUAAUCAGCUUGAACAACGAAACUCUAAAUUAGUUAAAUUAAUUGUCAAGACAAGGAUCUUAAAGAAUCAAAACAAGCCACAAAUCUCAACUCGGAAUAGCAUUCAGCUUCCAAUCUUACAAUCAAACCAUAACAAUAACAGCAAUAA